rnacentral:tRNA from 1 species
AGUUAAUUAACUAACAUAAGUUUUUACUUUGAAAGUGAAAAAAAGAAAAUAAAUGAUUUCUAUUAACUU